UUACAAACCGUUUCACACUCAUAAUAACCCUUUUCAUCUCAUCUUCUUACCUACACUCGGCCGCCGUCGCCACCGCUACCGUCAGCUGCACCGCGGUAGACCACAGCAAUCAACUGCACCUUCGUAGAUCACUGCCACUGGCUGCACCGCUGGCGAAUGCUGCAAGAUCAAACUUUUAAAGAUUAACAUUGAUGCCUAUAGAAAGAUUGACAUUGGAGGCUUUGAGUGCAAUAUGAGCUACUACUACAACUAUUUAUGUUUCGCGUAGACUAGACUACUUUCAUAAAUGUGUUUUAAACACAAAGACGUGAUGCAGUGCCCUCUCAUCCCGAUCAAUCACCGGGACACUUGCAACAAAUCAGCACGAAAUAGGUCGUGCAGAAACGCUAUGAGGAAAAUCACAUCCUUCUACCCAUAGCGAUGGAGGAACAAAAAAUUAAUUGACAAUUUUAUGAAGAGUUCUUCCAGCCACGAGGACGGUCAAAUUGAUUUGACCGUCAAAACUACGGGUCAAUUUGCGAAGUGGGGGGUUACCGGUAUGGCUCGCAAAAACAAACUCGUUAUGAAGAGGGUGGAGGACUUCCCCGACGUGGAAUAUAAGUAUUAUAUUUGCAAGAACGGGGCCGGUGAUAAACCGGACAACACAUUUAGUACAAAAGACAUGAAAACUUUCAUGUUUGCUAAACGUGUUAGGAAAGCAGCCACUCAUCUGUACAGAAAUCAUGCAAUUCAAGCUACAGACGACCCCCUUCAAGCUACAAAUGACCCCCUUCACCUUCAAGCUGCAAACGACCCCCUUCACCUUCAAGCUGCAAACGACCCCCUUCACCUUCAAGCUGCAAACGACCCCUUCACCUUCAAGCUGCAAACGACCCCCUUCGACCCCCUUCAAGCUUUAAACGACACCCUUCACCUUCAAGCUGCAAACGACCCCCCUUCAAGCUGCAAACGACCCCCCUACUAUUACAUGAAUUUCUAAUUUAUCGAACCUGAAAUUAUAUGAUAUUUUAAUUAUUAUUACUUGUUGUUUAAAACAUGGAAAAUUGCUAGUUGUUUCUGAAUUUCUGACCUAAUUGUGUGGAUUUAUACAUAUGUAGAAGUUAUUGGUUUUAUAUGUUACA